AAUACCAAGAUCCAACUUGGGAACAAUAGUGCAAUUUGCACCAGUUUCAGCCCCAGAUUCAUCAUUUUUUGAAUGUAUAUAACAACUGCACAAUAGGAUAGCAUGAUGCUGAAUAUCAUGAUGUAUAUUUUGCCGAACGCAGAGCUACAUUCACAGUAGUUACCGCAAUAUUCUAAACAAAGUGAAAUAUUUUAACUGUAAUAAAGAAGACCCCCUCACUCAUGUCACAAUAUGUUAUUAGACAACCAUUAUAAGGCACUUUAGUGUCCAUCAUAAAAUUCAG